rnacentral:rRNA from 1 species
AAACUCACCAGGUCAGGACACGGUAAGGAUUGACGGACUGAAGCUCUUUCUCGAUUCCGUGGAAAGUGGUGCAUGGCCGUUUUUGGUUGGUGGAUCGAUCCGUCUGGUUAAUUCCGUUAACGAACGAGACCUCGGCACUCCGAAUAGCGCGGCGGACGUCGCGGCCUCCGGGCCGUCUUCCGCGACGAGCUUCUUAGAGGGACCGUCCCCCGCCGGGGAAGGAGGUGCGAGGUCAAACGACAGGUCUGUGAUGCCCCGUUAGAUUGUUCUGGGCCGCACGCGCAUUACACUGACGCGUCCAACGGGUGACUCCCGACCCGAAGGGGCCGGGGAAUCCGCAAGGCGCGUCGUGAUGGGGAUUGAACGUUGCAAUUGUUGUUCACGAACCGAGGGAAUUCCUAGUAGGCGCGGGUCAUCAACCCGCGCCGAUUACGUCCCUGCCC